rnacentral:rRNA from 1 species
UACGAAGGGGGCUAGCGUUGUUCGGAAUUACUGGGCGUAAAGCGCACGUAGGCGGACAUUUAAGUCAGGGGUGAAAUCCCGGGGCUCAACCCCGGAACUGCCCUUGAUACUGGGUGUCUGGAGUCCGGAAGAGGUGAGUGGAAUUGCGAGUGUAGAGGUGAAAUUCGUAGAUAUUCGCAGGAACACCAGUGGCGAAGGCGGCUCACUGGUCCGGUACUGACGCUGAGGUGCGAAAGCGUGGGGAGCAAACAGG